AGUGCAUAAUUCUUGGGUACAUUUUCAUCAAGGACAGACACAAGACAUACAUUAGAAAAAAGGCCACUGCAAUCUUGUGUCAUAAAUAUAGGAAUUGUGUUCACUCCAAAAUUCAAAGUGAAUUAGAAAUACAAAGGACGAUUUUCUAAAACGUACAAAUUAGGAUAGUUUGUUGAACAUUUCGCAUUCAACAUUCAUUUUUCCUUAGAUCUGAAACAUGGAACCAAAACUAGACAACUAUUGACUGAAUACAGACACACACACCCACACAUUUAUGCUUUAUAACUCAUGAAUCCCAGAAUAAAGGAAACAACAUAUGAAAAAAAAAAUUAAGAACCCACGAGCCCAAACUCCAAAGAAACUAGAAGGACAAGCCCUGCAUCUAUGGAGGAUUUCAGACACACCAUAACUUUCGUUAAACAAUCUGACUUCCCAUGGACUCAUCACCAAAACCAAUAUUCAAAUAUUAUGUUUAACAUGGGAAUCUAGUAAUU
rnacentral:lncRNA from 1 species